AUGAGUAAGCUGAUGACAGAUGACAAAGGGAGUGUGGGGGAAAGGAUUUGCAACAAACAACUACACAAGGAUUCCAAUGCACCACUGUUCAACAAGGCUGUUCAAGUUGGCGGGGACGCGCAGCGGGAGCUCUUGCCGGUAUCUUCGUGGUCUUCUCGGAGCGGUAUUUUGCCGACUCCCAUUACUCAGCAAGCCAGUUUGACAUCUCUGGCCCAAGGACCGGGAACCACAUCAGCCAUUACGUUUCCAGAGGAACAAGAAGAUCCUCGAGUUGGUAGAAGUCAGGAUGAAGCAUCUGCUGGUGGACUCUGGGGUUUUAUUAAAGGUGUGGCCGGAAAUCCUGUGGUGAAAUCUGUGCUUGAUAAAACAAAACAUUCAGUAGAAAGCAUGAUUACAACGCUGGACCCCGGCAUGGCUCCGUAUAUCAAAUCUGGAGGUGAACUGGAUAUUGUAGUGACCUCAAAUAAAGAAGUAAAAGUUGCUGCCGUCUGAGAUGCCUUCCAGGAGGUCUUUGGCUUAGCUGUGGUCAUAGGGGAAGCUGGACAGUCCAAUAUUUCCCCACAGCCGGUAGGCUAUGCAGCUGGAUUAAAAGGUGCCCAGGAACGGAUAGACAGCUUGGGUCAAGCUGGAGUGAUCCAUGAAAAACAGACUGCUGUGUCAGUAGAAAACUUCAUUGCAGAAUUGCUACCUGACAAGUGGUUUGACAUUGGCUGUUUGAUAGUGGAAGACCCCGUCCAUGGCAUUCACCUGGAAACGUUUACACAGGCCACACCUGUGCCUUUGGAAUUUGUACAGCAGGCUCAAAGUCUCACUCCCCAGGACUACAGUCUGAGGUGGUCAGGCCUUCUGGUGACAGUGGGUGAAGUCCUGGAAAAGAGCUUAAUGAACGUGACGCGGACUGACCAGAGCAAAAAUCAAUGA